rnacentral:rRNA from 1 species
UGCGUCCUACGGGGGGCAGCAGUGAGGAAUAUUGGUCAAUGGCCGAGAGGCUGAACCAGCCACGUCGCGUGAGGGAAGACGGCCCUACGGGUUGUAAACCUCUUUUGUCGGGGAGCAAAGCGAGUCACGUGUGACUCAUUGAUAGUACCCGAAGAAAAAGCAUCGGCUAACUCCGUGCCAGCAGCCGCGGUAAUACGAAGGAUGCGAGCGUUAUCCGGAUUUAUUGGGUUUAAAGGAUGCGCAGCCGGAGGUUCAAGUAAGCG